rnacentral:lncRNA from 1 species
UAUUCUUCGACGAAAUGUCGACGCACAACAUUCCAGAGUGUUCCCCCGCCGUUCCUGUCCCCUCUUUAUUUCUUCUCGUCUCCUACUUCUCUCUUCUUUCCUCCGACCUUCUCGCCUGUCUCGUUCUUCCUUCCUCAUCCUGCUGCACUUCUCUCCUCUUGCUCCCUUGCUUUCUUCUCUCUCUCGUUCUUCUCUUCCUCGCGUUUCUCCCCGAUCUGCUCUCUCUCCCGUACUCUUGUCCUUCGCUUGAGGCGCCACGGUC